rnacentral:rRNA from 1 species
UACGGAGGGUGCAAGCGUUAUCCGGAUUUAUUGGGUUUAAAGGGUGCGUAGGCGGCUAUUUAAGUCAGUGGUGAAAUCCUGCAGCUCAACUGUAGAACAGCCAUUGAAACUGAAUAGCUUGAGUAAUCUUGAGGUAGGCGGAAUGUGUAGUGUAGCGGUGAAAUGCUUAGAGAUUACAUGGAAUACCAAUUGCGAAGGCAGGUUACUACUAAUGGAUUGACGCUGAUGGACGAAAGCGUGGGUAGCGAACAGG